GGACCCGCACAAGUAGUGGAGCAUGUGGUUUAAUUCGAAGAUACGCGCAGAACCUUACCAACACUUGACAUGUUCGUCGCGACUUUAAGAGAUUAAAGUUUUCGGUUCGGCCGGACGAAACACAGGUGCUGCAUGGCUGUCGUCAGCUCGUGUCGUGAGAUGUUGGGUUAAGUCCCGCAACGAGCGCAACCCUCACUUUUAGUUGCCAUCAUUUAGUUGGGCACUCUGAAAGAACUGCCAGUGAUAAGCUGGAGGAAGGUGGGGAUGACGUCAAGUCCUCAUGGCCCUUACGUGUCGGGCUACACACGUGCUACAAUGGUAUUUACAACAGGAGCAAAACGGCGACGUU
rnacentral:rRNA from 1 species